rnacentral:rRNA from 1 species
CCUACGGGAGGCAGCAGUGGGGGAUAUUGCACAAUGGGGGGAACCCUGAUGCAGCGACGCCGCGUGGGUGAAGGAGUGCUUCGGCAUGUAAAGCCCUAUCGGCAGGGAAGAAGCAAGACGGUACCUGACUAAAAAGCUCCGGCUAACUACGUGCCAGCAGCCGCGGUAAUACGUAGGGGGCGAGCGUUAUCCGGAUUCACUGGGUGUAAAGGGUGAGUAGACGGCCAUGCAAGCCAGGGGUGAAAGCCCGGGGCGCAACCCCGGGACUGCCCGUGGAACUGUGAGGCUAGAGUGCGGGAGGGGAAGGCGGAAUUCCUGGUGUAGCGGUGAAAUGCGUAGAUAUCAGGAGGAACACCAGCGGCGAAGGCGGCUUGCUGGACCGCAACUGACGUUGAGGCUCGAAAGCGUGGGGAGCGAACAGGAUUAGAUACCCCGGUAGUC